GACCACAUUUUGAGCCCAUAAAAAUGUCCUUGUCUUUGGGAAGUGUAGUUACCUUGGGAGUAGACUGGACAGAGGUACCUGUUCUGGAGUUUGGUGCGUGAUACAUUGAAAACAUACACAGACAGCAGCUGCAACAGCUACUGCAUAUCCUGCCCCAUAAGAUUAAACCCAGCCGAGAUGCUGCAACACGGCUGGAUGAAAAGAUUACUGCACUGUUUUGACCAAUCAUUGUGGGCCAUUUGGACAAGAAAUGCCAGAGCUGACUGUUUUGUCCUGGUCCGGACCUGAUGCAAUGCAACACCUUAACAAAGUACACAGGGCGUACUGACUAUAUAAGCAGCAGAAGGGUACAAGACAUCGGUACAGAGAAUCAGGAAAAUACAAUGGUAAAGAAAGGAAGCAUCGAAACAAGAAGGAUGUACAACCAGAAACGGCUUAACAGGUCUGAAAGAAAGUGACUGGACUUCCUUUUUUUUUUUCUUUCAUGAAGACCAUUCACCUCUCAUCCCGAGCCUUUUUAUUUAAAAAUUUGCCAUGGAAAAAAAUAAAGAGUGCUAAAGAAAACAGGUCAGAGAGUUCAACAUGAUAUUAUGCUUUGUAUGUUUAAAUAAGAAAUGCAGAUUUGUCCUUAAUGCCAGUGCACUUUUUUUUCUCCACACAUUCUUUCCCACUCUCUUCAGGAUGCAUUCUCACCCCCCAGCUGUGGUCAGUACCGAUCAGUUACACUGAUGUUUGUGUCUGUGCGUGUUCUGUGUUGUGAAGCUUGACUCACAUAUCUUUAAUACAUUUAAAGACAUGACAUUGUGACUGUCAGCUUGACCUAAAACUCGUAUAUGAUUGUAAUUCCCAUGUCCCCAAGAGAUGACUGAACAAAGAGAGGAUCCAAUUUCUGUAUGUUAUCUCAGAACCUGAACUGUCUCCAAGACCAGUAGACUACAUUAAGACCCGCAGCACCAUUCUAUGGAUUUAGACCACUGUGCUACUUCAAAUGUUUUGAAUAAAAUAAAGGAGAAUAUAACUGAACUUCAACACUACAGUAACAAAUUUCACCUGAGGAUUUACUUUAGGUGAUGCACAGUAUGGGUAUUUCUGAGACAAAAACAAAGCAAUUUUCACCUCAGCAGGGGUGAUUCAUGAGGACAGAAAUUCAUCUGCAGCUGUUCCAAGCUGAAGUGUAAUGUAUUGUCCUCUACUACAGAACAUGCCACCUCAAACAGUGCAUCACACAGUCACAUUAUAACAAGUCAAAGAAGAAAGAGUCAUAUAUGCGUGCGUGCGUGUGUGUGUGCGUGCGUGCGAUCCUCAAACUCAGGUUGUCAUGGCCGUUUGAGAGUUUUGUGCAGUCUUUUGGUUGAUCCUAGGAGGGCACUGGUCUGAACAGAGACCUCUGAUAUGGUUCUCUUCUGCACUUUGUCAUCCACUAUAUCUGGUUGGUUGGCCAACAGCUGCUUGUCUGUCUGGAACUGGAAGUUCCACAGGUGCUUCCCUGUUGCUCUCAGCCACCUUUGGUGGUAUCUUUUCUGUCACUUCUAAACUAUAUGCGGCACAGAUGUUUCUGUAUUCUAAGUGCAUUAUUCCCAUAUGCUUCAAUAAGACAGUCAUAGUCCAUGUUCCACAGAAACACCAGCUCAUCAGCUUUAAUGACUAUCAGCCCAUAGCCCUUAUUCAUCAAAACUUUCAUCACAUCCUCCCUGCCUGUCACCAUGGACCGUCUACUAUUUGCACACCGCCCCAGCAAAUCCACAGAUGACACCAUUGUCCACUUGCUCCUCUCCAUUUUUGCCCACUUGGACACAAUGAAAGGGGCUUAUUCUAGACUGCUAUUUAUAGAUUACAGUUCAGUAUUUAACAUGAUAUUUCCCUUCAGGCUGGCAAAUAACUGAGUGACCUUAGCUUGGAGAUCCCAUGUAGUUGGAUCCUAAGUUUCCAGACUUGGUGAUCAUACUGGCUGACCACCAAGUGGCUUCUCACCUUCAGCACUGUACUCCCCCAAGAUUUUGAGUUGAGCCUUCUUCUCUACUCCCUCUCCCUAUGACUGUGUGGCUGCGUCAUCACCAUCUGAAAGGGCAGCUGCACCUGAUGGACCACUUGACCUUCAGCAGGAUAGUCCAUUCACCUGAGAGAAGUGCCAACCCCAGCCGUCACAUUGAGCAGGUCAUAAUCAUCCAGGCGGAUCAUAAGGGAUUCCAGUCACUCUAACAGAAGACUGUUCUCUAUGCUCCCAUCAGGGAGACACUACCAUGUGCUCUGAUUGAUUGAUUGAUUAGCAUUCAAAUAUCUCAGUGAAUACAGAAUAAAGAUUACCACAAAGCAAGA